UUGAUGAGACUAUCGGUGCAAAUGUCAACAUUGUCAAUGUCCUGGCAGUUGAUGACGACAUUAAUGCAUUCAACCGUGUGAGCUAUGAAAUUAUUGGGGACAGCACUGCACCUGCAUACUUCGACGUGACACCAGG